rnacentral:piRNA from 1 species
ACUGAACUACUUUAGAGACCUCUGG